rnacentral:rRNA from 1 species
UACUCAUAAAUAAGAAAUUUUGGAUUAGUAAUUAUAAUGAAAUUUAACGGAUUUGGCGGCAAGAUAGCCAUUUAGAGGAACCUGCCCUAUAAACGAUGAACCACGAAAUCCUUACUUUUACUUGUUAUUAAGUUUGUAUACCGCUGUUGUCAGUUAGUUUUUUUAGAAAUCUUUCUUUCAUGAUAAAAUCAGGGACUUCAAGUAAAGGUGCAGCUAAUGUAAAAGAUAGAGGUGGGUUACAUUUAAAAGAAUAAUACGAAUAAAGUUUUUGAAAUAUCUUUUGAAGGUGGAUUUAAAUGUAAAGUUUAUAAAAACUUGAUGAAGGCUCUAUCUUGUGUACAC